rnacentral:rRNA from 1 species
UACGGAGGAUCCAAGCGUUAUCCGGAUUUAUUGGGUUUAAAGGGAGCGUAGAUGGAUGUUUAAGUCAGUUGUGAAAGUUCGGGGCUCAACCCCGGAAUUGCAGUUGAUACUGGAUAUCUUGAGUACAGUUGAGGUAGGCGGAAUUCGUGGUGUAGCGGUGAAAUGCUUAGAUAUCACGGAGAACUCCGAUUGCGAAGGCAGCUUACUAAGCUGUAACUGACAUUGAGGCUCGAAAGUGUGGGUAUCAAACAGGAUUAGAUACCCUGGUAGUCCACACGGUAAACUAUGGAUACUCGCUGUAGGCGAUACACAGUCUGCGGCCAAGCGAAAGCAUUAAGUAUCCCACCUGGGGAGUACGCCGGCAACGGUGAA